ACUUUGUUUCCUUUGUGAUCCACCACCUGAAUUCUUGCAUUUCCUCUAAUCACAUACAGGGCACUAUGUGCAUUGAUAUUCCAGUGUGGUGCAAAAAUGGCAUUCUGCAAUUACCAAACAACAAACUCAAUCACUCAUUUCACGUAACAAAAUUUAUGUAUUAAUGCUAUUGUGUUUGCUUACGCUGUAGAGGAAUCCUCUUUCUGCACUAAGUUGGAGGCUGCUGAGGAUAGGAAUCUUUUGGCUAUUAACAGUGGUAAUGCGGCCAGCACGAGGAUUGAAUACAUCAGCCUCUUGGGGGAGGCCAAUGUUUUCACUAAGCUUCACCGUGCACAAAGUUUCCUCAAGUCCAUUGGAUCUCCAUCCUCUUCCAACACCCUGUUGUUGCUGCUCCUGCUGUUGUUGGGGUUGUUGCUCUUGCUCACUAUAUUCAGGCAGGAACAGUUGAAGUUUUUCAGCUCGGACUGUGCUACCCCUUUUAUCUUUCGGACCCUUCAAUUUCUGUAUUAUUUUGAGGUCAACAUUGAAAGCAUCAGCCAAAAGUUGGUCAUCAAAUCCUGAGAAGAUGUUUCUAUGCUGCUGCUGCUGGCCUUGAUGGCCUUCCUUUCCACCACCCUGUUGCGGGUUUCCGGCUAGGAAAAAUUUCUGAAAGUAAAAAAAAAUUUUUUUUAUUAAGAUGGUACCGCAAUAAAAUAUGCCCAGAAAGAGAUUAUUUUUUGAUUAAUACUUGGCAAGUUUGGAAUGAUAGUUUUCUUACCCUGGACUGCAAAUCAAGCUGAUUAGCCUCAUUGGCAACAUCAAGAAGUGCGACAGUGACAAGCGGAACAUCUCCAUCAUUAUAUGUCCACUGAGUGAAACCAGGAAGCAAUAUAAGGACAUCUCCUUUUUGGAACCUUCUGAGCUUCUGAUGGCGGUCUGGAAACCUUUGCCUUUGCCCUUCCUGACCACCUUUGGAACCUUCUUGCCCUUUGCCCGGCUGUUCCUGACCACCCGAAAAUGAUUCGCCCUGGGAUUCAAAUGUUUCAGCACAACCAGGGAUCACAGUGCCUUGAACACCGGUACCUGCAUUAUGCCAAAAUGAUUAAAUCAUGAAAAAAAUCAAUUAUACGAUCAUUAAGAAGAAAAUAGAGAAAAACUUCCAGAAAUAAUGGAAAGAUGGGAAAUGAAACUUGCCUUCGACAACGUAGACGAAUUUCGGCACGUUAGAGUAAUGAGGCAAACGAAGGCCCUUAGGUUGGACAGUGUUACGCUCAAAUUCCACACCAGCGCACCCAAAUUCUGGAUUAUUAGAAUCCCAGAAUUCAGUUAAACCAGCCUCUGAUGGGAACCUGAAGGAUGGUUCUUGUGCAUUAAGCUUCUGAAUAUUGCACUGAGUUUUACCCCCGAGCCUUGGCUCUGGUCUCCCUAGUUGAGCCAAACAGCCGAGGAACAAGAGAAGAACGUACGAGGAAAGAGAAAUCAUAUGAGAGUGAGCCAUUCUCUGACAACAGAGGAGAGUGUAGUGUGUUUUUGUGGUGAGGGGAUGCGGCGAUUAGAGCUUGGAAAUGGCUCCUUUUAUAACAUGUAAUGGAAGAUGAGGAAUCGACACGUCAAAAUUUUCAUUUUACACUUGGCUACUCAGUCUUGUGCAUGGCUGAUGAAGAGGAACACUUCUUUACACCAAGGAUGAUGUGUAAGCCUUGGUGGCAAUGAGUUUCUGACAUGUAUUGUUCAAUCCUUUUGUGUUUGUAUUUGCAUGAAAUUUUUGUACUUUAGCAAUGGCAUGGUAAGGUGCAUUAUCUGCUACGAUGGCUUUUGAUGAAUCAAACCCCAAAUCAAACACACAUUCAUCUUGGGAUCUUUCGAGAUGUGAUAUGGAAAGAUGAUCACAACUGCUGCGUAUUACAUCACACCUAUCAUCUUCUGCUUUUAAGUUUCUAGUACCUAUCUAUCUUCAUCGAUUUUUAUUCACCUUUAUUGAAGACAAUUGGUUUUCACUUCUAGGCAAAUGACUGUUGCAGUUCAUAAUUUCAAUGCCUGGAAUAAAUAUCUGUUAAACAAUUACCGUUUCUAGUCUAGUGGCACGUAAUUAAAGGCAUUCUACAGGGAAAUUCCAUGAUUUAAAAUCUUUAUUAGCAAACAAAAGGCAGCCAAUCCAUGUUGGAUCAAACUAAAAGAUAGAGCCAGAAACCCAAUUUGACAUGGAAUAGAGUUUUACGUCUAACAAUUGAAUUGAAUUAUGUUCUUGAAAAGGUUGCUCAUCUACAUCGUUUUCCGCUGUAAUACAUCAAUAAACCAGCUGUAUCGUGACCCAUUGUAUCUGCCGCUUGGGUAGAGGUUAAAUCUCCCUCUAUGCAUUUCCUCUAUCCUUCCCCUUGUAGGUAGGCUUGAACUCCAAAAGAAAAGAGAAAAAAAAAGAAAGUACGAAGUUGAUUCCACUGACAUUUGUAUCAAAUUCAAUAUUUGAGCAAUAAUGAUCAUCAGCUUCUAGAAAUGAUCCAAGUCCAAGCUAUUGAUUCCAGCCUCCCAUAGUGUGUCUGAACAAAUUUCAAGAUGGUGAUAUGAUAGCCAAAUCAUGGACAAAAAAAGUUGCUUGGGAAGACUGUCUUAACCCCAGUUCCAGAGUUAGAUCAAUCAAUGGUUCUCUAAUCUAUUCCAUUCUAACAUUGUUUAGUUGAGUUUUUGUCUAUGUGUAAUUUCAGUUUCAAUUAAUUACUCAACUUUGCAUGUUUAGUGUUAUAAUCAUUAGUGCUUUUGGUACACCGAUGGUGCUCAUUUCAAAAAUAUGUAAUUAAUAAUUUUUAAUAAUCCACUAUUAUAUGUAGAAUCAUGUUAGAGCAUAUAUAUGCUUUUCUCAAAAUUCAUAGAUAUGAUUCUUUUUUGAUUUUUUAGGAAAUUAUUGUACUUAAAAUCAUGGUAAAGAAAUAGAGUGGAAGUGAGCUGAUAUGCUUAAGAUCAUGGUUGGAAGAGGUGGUGGACCCAAAUUGAUAAAUACACAAAACCCACAGAAACAAUAAAAAAAAAACGAUAUUGAGGCACAGGAAAAUUUUCUAUUAAUCAUAACAAGGCUCUGGCUACACUAUGCAAAACACAACGGAGGUUACUACUUCUUCUUAAGGCUAAAAGACGGACGCAACGGCUACACAUCAAAACCCCUUGGCGGCUAACUUCUAUUACUAACUCUGCUAGUCAUAAGAAAUUCAAUCCCAUGGGAUCACCCUACCAACCAACAAUACUACUUACCAAUCCCACAUGACAGCAUAAACAAAUAAUAAAGGCUUGGUUUGUGUUUCUAUAUUGCCUCCAUUAAACCAGUCUCCUCUAACUUGGACAUACCUAACAUAUUCUUCAACUCGACAAAAAUCUCUAUCUUCAAUAUCUUGGUGAAAAAUGUCAGCCGCUUACUAUUUAAUUCUGCAAUAAUCAAUUUCAACCUCUCUCUAUCUCGAACCAACUCACGUGUGAAGUGAUAUUUGAUACCAAUAUGCUUGUUACAUCCAUGAAGUACUAAAUUCUUGGACAACUCAAUAGCUGACUUACUAUCAUAAUAAAUUUUCGUAGGAUCAACCUGCUUGUAUUGUAGAAUACCAAACAUGCAAUGUAACCAUAAAACUUGAUUAGCACUAUUAGCUGCUGCAAUAUACUCUGCCUCCGCUAUAAACAAUGCAAUCACCUGUCGUUUCUUUGAACUCAAGGAAAAUAAGUCAGAACCAAUAAAAAAUGCAUAACUUGAAGUACUCUUCUUCUCUAUUGUAUCACCUGGUCAAUCACUAUCAGUGUAGCCAAACAAUUCAACUGGAUAAUUUUCUGAAUAUAAAAUGCCAACACUGCGAGUACUUUCAAUAUAUUUCAAAAUUCUCUUAACCGCCUGCAAAUGUGACUGACGUGGAUUUUUCAUAAACUUGUUAAUCACACCAACAGCAAAAUUGAUAUCUGGCCUCAUAGACGUCAAAUAUCUCAAAUUUUCUACCAAACUUUUAAAGUAGGUAGGAUUUACAUAUCCAUAACUGUUAUAUUCUUCCUGUCUGCCACUCCAUUUUGUUGGAAAAUGUACCUGGUAGUCAAUUGAUGAUGUAUCACAUUUUUUUCAAAAAAAAUCAUCACACAACAAAUAUUCCUGACCCCUAUUUGUUCUCAAAAUUUUAAUUUGAUACCCACUUUGUCUUUAACAAAAGUUUUUAAAAUUUUAAAAAUAUCACAGGCAUUAUAUUUUUGUUUCAAAAAAUAUACCAAGACUUUUCUACUGAAAUCAUCAAUAAAGGUAAUAAAAUACCUGCAACUACCAUUAGAAGAAACCAUAGUGCACAAGUCUGAGUGAAUAAUUUCCAAUGAUUUUUUGGCCCUCCAUGAUAUGUCAAUCUAAAAAGCAUCCCUCUAUUGCUUUCUCAAAACGCAUAUAUCACAGACUCUAAUAGGAUUUCUAGUAUUAGGCAAUCUACCAACCAUUUUUUUACUGGUCAAAAGUUUGAAAUUGUCAAAAUUCAAAUGGCCAAAUCAUAUAUGCCAUAACUAAUUACUAUCUUUUAUCACCAUAUUCAAACAAAAAAAUUGAUAGAACUCAAAUUCAAUGCAACUAAGCGAUUUGAAAUCAUUGAUACACUAGCAAUUAUUCCAAUAUUUUUUAUAAAAAAUGGUACAAGUACCAUUCGGAUACUAAUAUCAUUUUUUUUUUCUCAGAUAAUUGGCUUAUACUCAACAAAUUAUGAUGCAACCCAAGAACAUAGAAAACAUCAGAAAAAAAUUAGUAGACCCAUUUUUCAGACUAAUAGAAAUUUUUUCAAAUUUUACUUCACCAUGGACAGAUACAUCAAGUUCAACAAAUAAUUCUUUCUUGCCAGAUAUACCGUUACUGCAACCCGUAUCCAAGUAUCAUUUAUUUUUAUUAACUAGAUCAACAGCA
rnacentral:lncRNA from 1 species